UCAGCAGUUACAGAGAUCCACUAUCUGAAGGAGCGUAUUUUCAGGCAGUGAAACUUUGAAUAGUUGUCGAAGAUAACGUAUUCGAGUUAACACCGCUGGUGUGACGGUGAAAAAUUAUUCGCCGACACUCUUUGCGGCUUACCUGUCAAUGCGACCCGUCUUGAAACACGGACCAAGAAUCGAGGAGAGAGGAGACGCACAGUGCGCUCUGUGCGGGUCUUUGCACACCUUCUCACUUAGAUGCUGGGCAAAGGCUUUAAAUGGGCCGCCUUGAAACACGCACCAAGAGAGCAGCCCUCGAGUGUAAUCAGCUGACUACAUCGGUUCCGUGCAGUAUGACGGAGACGGCGGCUAGUGCGCGUGCGUGCAUAGUUGGCGGCGUGUCCGGGUUGGUUGUACGUGCCUGUUUAUUCAGGCCUGAUGAUGGCUCGGAUUCGUUCGGCUGGCUGUUGCGUGCGUGCAAAUACGGGGCCAAUAGCCUGUGGUGAGUGGUACAAUCCACCCGACCGUCUUGAAACCCGGACCAAGAC
rnacentral:rRNA from 1 species